GGAAUAUUGGACAAUGGGCGCAAGCCUGAUCCAGCCAUGCCGCGUGGGUGAAGAAGGCCUUCGGGUUGUAAAGCCCUUUUGUUGGGAAAGAAAAGCAGCCGGUUAAUACCCGGUUGUUCUGACGGUACCCAAAGAAUAAGCCCCGGCUAACUUCGUUCCAGCCGCCGCGGUAAUACGAAGGGUGCAAGCGUUACUCGGAAUUACUGGGCGUAAAGCGUGCGUAGGUGGUUUGUUAAGUCUGAUGUGAAAGCCCUGGGCUCAACCUGGGAAUUGCAUUGGAUACUGGCAGGCUAGAGUGCGGUAGAGGGUAGUGGAAUUCCCGGUGUAGCAGUGAAAUGCGUAGAGAUCGGGAGGAACAUCCGUGGCGAAGGCGACUACCUGGACCAGCACUGACACUGAGGCACGAAAGCGUGGGGAGCAA
rnacentral:rRNA from 1 species